AUUGAACGCUGGCGGCAGGCCUAACACAUGAAAGUCGAACGAGUGGCGGACGGGUGAGUAAUGUCUGGGAAACUGCCAGAUGGAGGGGGAUAACUACGGGAAAAGGUAGCUAAUACCGCAAGGCAUCGGAUGUGCCAAGAUGGGAUUGGCUAGGAGGUGGGGUAACGGCGCACCAAGGCGACGAUCCCUAGCUGGUCUGAGAGGAUGACCAGCAACACUGGGACUGAGACACGGUCCAGACUCCUACGGGAGGCAGCAGUGGGGAAUAUUGCACAAUGGGCGCAAGCCUGAUGCAGCCAUGCCGCGUGUAUGAAGAAGGCCUUAGGGUUGUAAAGUACUUGCAGCGAGGAGGCGUUACUCGCAGAAGAAGCAUCGACUAACUCCGUGCCAGCAGCCGCGGUAAUAC
rnacentral:rRNA from 1 species